rfam:Triticum aestivum genome assembly, contig: Triticum_aestivum_CS42_TGACv1_scaffold_427031_5BS
GGAUGCGAUCAUACCAGCACUAAAGCACCGGAUCCCAUCAAAACUCCAAAGUUAAGCGUGCUUGGGCGAGAGUAGUACUAGGAUGGGUGAUGUCGGUGUCAAAACCGGCGGAUCUCGGGUA